rnacentral:rRNA from 1 species
GGAGUUAGCCGGUGCUUCUUCUGCGAGUAACGUCACAGAUGUAAGGUAUUAACUUACACCCUUUCCUCCUCGCUGAAAGUGCUUUACAACCCGAAGGCCUUCUUCACACACGCGGCAUGGCUGCAUCAGGGUUUCCCCCAUUGUGCAAUAUUCCCCACUGCUGCCUCCCGUAGGAGUCUGGGCCGUGUCUCAGUCCCAGUGUGGCUGAUCAUCCUCUCAGACCAGCUAGGGAUCGUCGCCUAGGUGAGCCUUUACCUCACCUACUAGCUAAUCCCACCUGGGCUUAUCCAUCAGCGCAAGGCCCCGAAGGUCCCCUGCUUUCCCCCGUAGGGCGUAUGCGGUAUUAGCAGUCGUUUCCAACUGUUAUCCCCCACAAAUGGGCAAAAUUCCCCAGGCAUUACUCACCCGUCCGCCGCUCGUCAUCUUCAAAAGCAAGCUUUUGAAAUGUUACCGCUCGACUUGCAUGUGUUAGGCCUGCCGCCAGCGUUCAAUCUGAGCCAGAAUACAAACUACUCGA